AUUGAACGCUGGCGGCAUGCCUUACACAUGCAAGUCGAACGGCAGCACGGGGCAACCUGGUGGCGAGUGGCGAACGGAUGAGUAAUGCAUCGGAACGUGCCAUUGAGUGGGGGAUAACGUAGCGAAAGUUGCGCUAAUACCGCAUAUUCUGUGAGCAGGAAAGCAGGGGACCGCAAGGCCUUGCGCUCUUUGAGCGGCCGAUGUCAGAUUAGCUAGUUGGUGAGGUAACGGCUUACCAAGGCGACGAUCUGUAGCGGGUCUGAGAGGAUGAUCCGCCACACUGGAACUGAGACACGGUCCAGACUCCUACGGGAGGCAGCAGUGGGGAAUUUUGGACAAUGGGCGCAAGCCUGAUCCAGCCAUGCCGCGUGAGUGAAGAAGGCCU
rnacentral:rRNA from 1 species